AGAGGUGGCGAGCGUUGUUCGGAAUUACUGGGCUUAAAGGGCGAGUAGGCGGUGGAGCAAGUCUGAGGUGGAAUCCUAUGGCUUAACCAUAGAACUGCCUUGGAUACUGUUUUACUUGAGUCAGUGAGGGGAGGGCGGAAUUCCCGGUGUAGCGGUGAAAUGCGUAGAUAUCGGGAGGAAGGCCAGUGGCGAAGGCGGCCCUCUGGUGCUGAACUGACGCUGAGGCGCGAAAGCGUGGGGAGCAAACAGGAUUAGAUAUCCUGGUAGUCCACGCCCUAAACGGUGGGCAUUAGGUGUAGGGUCCGUAAGGGUUCUGUGCCGAAGGGAAACCAUUAAAUGCCCCGCCUGGGGAGUACGGCCGCAAGGUUG
rnacentral:rRNA from 1 species